GGGUGCGAUCAUACCAGCACUAAUGCACCGGAUCCCAUCAGAACUCCGAAGUUAAGCGUGAUUGGGCGAGAGUAGUACUAGGAUGGGUGACCUCCUGGGAAGUCCUCGUGUUGCACUCC
rnacentral:rRNA from 1 species